CUGUGGAUGCAUCUACUAGUGGUUUGGGAGCUGUACUAUCCCAAGUGCAAGAUGGGACGGCAAUAGCCAGGCCAAUAGCUUUUGCUAGUAAAUCUCUUAAUCAUGCACAAUCCAAGUAUCCUGCUCACCGGCUGGAAUUUCUAGCCAUGAAAUGGGCCAUUCAUGAUAAAUUCAGCCAUUGGCUGCGAGGGCAUAAGUUUACUGUGUGGACCGACAACAAUCCACUCAAAUAUAUUCUUACAAAGCCGAGACUUGAUGCAUGCGAGCAGAGAUGGGUUGCAAAGCUGGCACCCUUUGACUUUGAUAUCCAGUACAUACCAGGUCCCAAGAAUGUCGUUGCUGAUGCUUUGAGCAGAGAGCCAUUUGUCCGCUCCACAGUUCUGCACCGACUGACAAGAAUUCCAUACGAUGUCCUGCUGGAGGAAGCCAGAGGUCUUCGAGUGGAUGAUGUUCAAGACAUGUUCCGCCUCUCCUGUGAACAGCCCGAGGCUGGCUGUGGAACGUCUAUGGCUCCUGGGAGUGAGUUAAGUAGAGCUGGAGACGAUGUCAGUGGGUUGGUUUCCUGUGAAGAGGUGUCUGCUGUCCUCCAUGCUCACCGCCGAUGGGAUGAUGGUGCCACGGUGAGGGCCAUUUCACAUGCGCAGCACCUUGAGAAGUUGAUGUCCAUGGGUCAGAGCCCUUUACCUGUCUUUACACACAAGGAGCUGUAUGAUAACCAGUCACUGGAUCCUGUCAUCAGCAGAGUCAUGUUCUUUGUAGAUAGAGGCCGGCGCCCAUCUAGGAGAGAGCGAGUCCUUGAAGCUAAUGAAACAGUUUAUACUCUAAGACAGUGGGGAAAACUCACCACGCGGUUAGGGAUUCUGUAUCGUGUCUCAAAACACCCAGUGAGUAAGAAGAAAAUAUUCCAGUAUGUUGUACCUGUGUCUUUGAGAGGCCUUGUGUUGAAGGGAGUUCAUGAUGAUGCUGGUCAUCAGGGUCAGCAGCGCACAUUGUGGCUUACGAGACAGCGGUUUUACUGGGACUCUAUGGAAAAGGAUGUCAAGGAAUACGUGGCCCACUGUAAGAGAUGCGUGUUGAGUAAAGCACCUGAGCCUGAAGCAAGAGCUCCACUUGUCUCCAUUGUGACAACGGCACCUUUGGAACUUGUGUGUAUUGAUUUCUGGACUGCAGAAGAUUCAAACAACAAGUCUAUUGAUGUGUUAGUAGUGACUGAUCACUUUACUAAGCUGGCAUGUGCGCAUCCGUGUCCAAACCAGUCUGCUAAGACUGUGGCUCGUGUUCUCUGGAAUAAUUUCUUCUGCGUUUAUGGGUUCGCUGAUUGUAUCCAUUCUGACAGGGGUGCUAACUUUGAAAGUUCACUUAUUGCAGAAUUACUUCAGUUAUCUGGUGUUGGAAAGUCCCACACCACACCU
rnacentral:lncRNA from 1 species